UACAGAGGUCUCAAGCGUUGUUCGGAAUCACUGGGCGUAAAGGGUGCGUAGGCCGCACGGUAAGUCAGAGGUGAAAUCCCGGAGCUCAACUUCGGAAUUGCCUCCGAUACUGCCGUGCUUGAGGACUGGAGAGGAGUCUGGAAUUCACAGUGGAGCAGUGAAAUGCGUAGAUAUUGUGAGGAACACCAGUGGCGAAGGCGGCUCACUGGCCCGCAACUGACGCUGAGGCGCGAAAGCGUGGGGAGCAAACAGG
rnacentral:rRNA from 1 species